UACGAAGGGGGCUAGCGUUGCUCGGAAUUACUGGGCGUAAAGCGCACGUAGGCGGCUUUCUAAGUCGGGGGUGAAAUCCUGGAGCUCAACUCCAGAACUGCCUUUCGAUACUGGCGAGCUUGAGUCCGGAAGAGGUGAGUGGAACUCCGAGUGUAGAGGUGGAAUUCGUAGAUAUUAGGAAGAACACCAGUGGCGAAGGCGGCUCACUGGUCCGGUACUGACGCUGAGGUGCGAAAGCGUGGGGAGCAAACAGG
rnacentral:rRNA from 1 species